UAUACGGUUUAUAUAUCUUUGCCC
rnacentral:siRNA from 1 species